GGGGGGAGAAUCUCCAAGUUCUGGUCCAGGAUGCCGCGCCUGGUCAGAGAGCUUAAACGUUGAAUGUUUUCAGUAGCUCGGGUUGUCAUUUUCCCCUAUGACACUGGUGUGGAUUUCCCCAGCGUCACCUCCCAAAGAGGCAGGCAGGGACGUGGUGACCCCUGCGGUCUUUCUGUUAGAAAGGCUACAGAUAUGCAGCAAAGACAAAGAAGGGUAAGGGUGGGCCAGCAGUAAGUACAGAACAACCCAGAUCGGAAUCGAAGAGCCCGAGUGCUCAUUUCUAAAAUGGUAAACCCAAAAGGGUUGGCCCUGAGCUUAUGCAACGUCCCUCCGCAGUGUGCCAGCAUUUUGAGAGGCUCAGAGCUGUGCCAGCAGUUUGAGGCUCAGAGCGCAGGAGAGGUGAAGUGACUUUUGUUCUUCCCUCUGUAACUAAAGCUGGCCACACCCUCUGGCAUCAGACUGAGUAGGAAAAAGGCCUCAGGGUGUCCUGUGCUGGGGACACCAGGUGACUGUACAGAGUCCAUGCCAGGCAGGAGAUUCCAGCAGGUGCAGGGCUGACGAAAUGCCGACUUGCUGAAAUGCGCAAGCGUGGAGGGUUUUCCUGCCUGGGCGGAGCCUCCAGGUCACUGAGCUGGAGGGCCUUUAGGCGAAAGGCAUCUGCCUUUGGGGACUUGUAUGAAUCUUAAGAUGCACAUGUGUGCAGGAACCUGAAUAAGCCAGGAGAGGGCGCUGCAUCACUUGGAGCUGGAGUUAGAGAUGGCUGUAAGCAGCCCAGUGUAAGUGCUGAGAACUGAACUCUGGUCUUCUGGAAAAUCUGCAAGGGGUCUUAUCCACUGAGCCAUCUCUCUAGGCCCUGGAAGUGUCUUUAAACACUGUAUUCAUACUAUCUAAAGCAUCUUUCAAUGUGAAGAUGGUACUGUUUUCUCUCUCUUUUUCUGUCUCUCUGUCUCUUUCUCUCCCCCCUUUCCCCCCUACCACCACACACAGAGGGUUUGAUUUAAUCUACAGCCUUGAAGAUGCUAGGCAAGCAGUCUCCUACUGGGCUACCCCUCAGUCCUCUUCUUUAAAAGCAUGGUGAUUUUAGGAAACUUGCCAGAUUAUACAGGAAAUGGUAGAGCCCUCAUGCUCCCUCAAACCAUGGGUUCCCCAAACCCAGCUCUUACCCUCCGUGCCUCUCCUCUCUCCUGUUUACAAACUUAGGUUAAGAGAGAGGUAGUAUGCUUAGUGGCGAUGGUGCAUACAUUUAUGCUCAGCACUGGGGAGGCAGGGGCAGGAGAAUCACUGAGUUCAAGGCCAGCCUGGUCCAGGAUGCCAAGGUUACACAGAGAAAACCCCCGUCUUGAAAAACCAAAGGAACAAAGCAAAAUAAAAACCCCAAUGUAAUGGUAAUUGUUAAUUUGCUCUAAACAACCCGGCGAGUAUGUGCUUGUCUCCUCUACACCUGCCCAAAAGUUUUGGAUUCACGAAUGAAAAACACACACAUAUACACACACAUAUACAUACACACACACACACACACACACACACACACACACACACACACACAUGCAUGCACACACUCACAGACUUAUUUUUAAUAUGCCCUAAAUAGCUUAAUGGUUGGGCACUUCCAAACCUCCCCAUAGCUAACACACUCUCCCCUCUGAUAUUCCAGAAUUACAACUAACAGUUAUAUUUCAUCUU